CCAAUCGAACCCGGAGAUAGCUGGUUCUCCUCGAAAUAGCUUUAGGGCUAGCCUCAUACGAGUCUUGCGGAGGUAGAGCACUGAAUUCCUAAGGGGGCGUCAAAGCUUACUAAGGGAUAUCAAACUCCGAAUGCCGUGUAGAUGAUGUAUGGGAGUCAGACGAUCCGAGAUAAGUUGGGUGGUCAAAAGGGAAAGAGCCCAGACCAACAGCUAAGGCCCCAAAAUGUGUGUUAAGUGGAAAAGGAUGUGGGAUUUCGAAGACAACUAGGAUGUUGGCUCAGAAGCAGCCAUCCAUUCAAAGAGUGCGUAAUAGCUCACUAGUCGAGAGGUCCUGCGCCGAAAAUGUCCGGGGCUGAAACACACUGCCGAAGCUUUGGAAUUGAUGAAUUUCAAUUGGUAGAGGAGCAUUCUUAAAGAGACGAAGCAGUACCGGAAGGAGCUGUGGAUUUUUAAGAAGAGAGAAUGCCGGAAUGAGUAGCGAGAGGAAGGUGGGAAUCCUUCCGGCCGAAUAUCUAAGGUUUCCAGAGUAAAGCUGAUCUGCUCUGGGUAAGUCGGGGCCUAAGGCGAGGUCGAAAGACGUAGUCGAUGGAUAACAGGUUGAAAUUCCUGUACUAUCCUGUAACAGAACUGUGGGGACACAGGCAGAGAGCGUGAGCCGGGAAUGGAAAGACCGGUACAAGCGAGGUAGGAGAAGAGCUGGCAAAUCCGCUCUUCAAUCUGAAGACGUGAUGUGGACCGAAAAGAAGUAGGGAAGCACGUGAGCUGACUGUCAAGAAAAGCCGCUAUUGUUUGCAGGAUACCCGUACCGUAAACCGACACAGGUGGAUGAGGAGAGAAUCCUAAGGCCGACGGGAGAAGCAUUGUUAAGGAACUCGGCAAAAUGACUCCGUAACUUCGGGAGAAGGAGUGCCAGUAAGAUGGCCGCAGAGAAUUGGCCCAAGCAACUGUUUAGCAAAAACACAGGUCUAUGCAAAACCGAAAGGUGAGGUAUAUGGGCUGACGCCUGCCCGGUGCUGGAAGGUUAAGAGGAGAGGUUAGCGCAAGCGAAGCUUUGAAUUUAAGCCCCAGUAAACGGCGGCCGUAACUAUAACGGUCCUAAGGUAGCGAAAUUCCUUGUCGGGUAAGUUCCGACCCGCACGAAAGGCGUAAUGAUUUGGGCACUGUCUCAACGAGAGACUCGGUGAAAUUUUAGUACCUGUGAAGAUGCAGGUUACCCGCGACAGGACGGAAAGACCCCAUGGAGCUUUACUGCAGUUUGAUAUUGAGUAUCUGUACCACAUGUACAGGAUAGGUAGGAGCCUAUGACCUCGGGACGCCAGUUUCGAGUGAGGCGUUGUUGGGAUACUACCCUUGUGUUAUGGCUACUCUAACCCAGAUAGGUUAUCCCUAUCGGAGACAGUGUCUGACGGGCAGUUUGACUGGGGCGGUCGCCUCCUAAAAGGUAACGGAGGCGCCCAAAGGUUCCCUCAGAAUGGUUGGAAAUCAUUCGCAGAGUGUAAAGGUAUAAGGGAGCUUGACUGCGAGAGCUACAACUCGAGCAGGGACGAAAGUCGGGCUUAGUGAUCCGGUGGUUCCGCAUGGAAGGGCCAUCGCUCAACGGAUAAAAGCUACCCUGGGGAUAACAGGCUUAUCUCCCCCAAGAGUUCACAUCGACGGGGAGGUUUGGCACCUCGAUGUCGGCUCAUCGCAUCCUGGGGCUGUAUUCGGUCCCAAGGGUUUGGCUGUUCGCCAAUUAAAGCGGCACGCGAGCUGGGUUCAGAACGUCGUGAGACAGUUCGGUCCCUAUCCGUCGCGGGCGUAGGAAAUUUGAGAGGAUCUGCUCCUAGUACGAGAGGACCAGAGUGGACUUACCGCUGGUGUACCAGUUGUUCUGCCAAGAGCAUCGCUGGGUAGCUAUGUAGGGAAGGGAUAAACGCUGAAAGCAUCUAAGUGUGAAGCCCACCUCAAGAUGAGAUUUCCCAUGAUUUUAUAUCAGUAAGAGCCCUGAGAGAUGAUCAGGUUGAUAGGUUAGAAGUGGAAGUGUGGUGACACAUGUAGCGGACUAAUACUAAUAGCUCGAGGACUUAUCCAA
rnacentral:rRNA from 1 species